rnacentral:rRNA from 1 species
GACGAACGCUGGCGGCGUGCUUAACACAUGCAAGUCGAGCGGUAAGGCCCUUUCGGGGGUACACGAGCGGCGAACGGGUGAGUAACACGUGGGUGACCUGCCCUCAGCUCUGGGAUAAGCCUGGGAAACUGGGUCUAAUACCGGAUAUGACUCCAUGACGCAUGUUGUGGGGUGGAAAGCCUUGUGCGGCUGAGGAUGGGCCCGCGGCCUAUCAGCUUGUUGGGGGGUGAUGGCCUACCAAGGCGACGACGGGUAGCCGGCCUGAGAGGGCGACCGGCCACACUGGGACUGAGACACGGCCCAGACUCCUACGGGAGGCAGCAGUGGGGAAUCUUGCGCAAUGGGCGAAAGCCUGACGCAGCGACGCCGCGUGAGGGAUGAC